UGCACAAGGGUGAAAAGUGUGUUUGCAGCAGAGCAUGCGCAGUGCCUUUCAAAGGUACCGCUACCCUUUCAACUGUGCAGCUGUUUGCCAAGUUGUAACCAACAGAUGACCACGUGAAGUAGAUAACAGUGAAGCGAAAGAAAAAAUUCAAAUGCUUUUCAAAUUAAAAAAGGAAGAUCUGAAAAGUGUGGCAUGGAUUUGAAUUAGACCCCCUCUACUCCGGUAAGCCCAAAAUAAAUGCAGUGCAACCAAACAGCAACUUUAGGAAUCAGCAACUAACAAAAGAGUGAGAGCUCACUUAGACACAUUUUAAUCUCAGUGUUCUGUGUUCUGUGCAGAUCUCAGAGGUUUGCUGGAGAACGUUAGUAAACAAACAGCAGUUGUGAGCGCCUGUCAGAGUUUUGUUCAGUCCAUCAUUUGAAAAUGGAAAGAGUGUGACACAAUUACAAACCUAAGAAAUAAACUGACAAGCUUGACAGAGAGGGCUAAUCAGUUAAUUUAGCAAUUCUGACUUUAUUGGAAGAGUAACAAGAGAGACAAAAAGACUGUGUUAAAAUAAAGUCAUAAAAAGUCCCAUUUGCAGCUUGCCACAAGCCAUGUAGUGGGCAUAAGUGUGCAAUAGAUUAUGCUGUUUUGAAAAACUAACACUCCACAUAGCCUUGAACACAUUGUGCAUGGUGGUAGAAGUGGAAUAAAGGACAUAAAAACUAGUUGCAGUUGAUAGGAAGUUGGAAGGAGGUUAAUGAGAGGGACGCCUGUAAGAAAACCUGCAAAACACUUGAGACAUGACAGGAUUUUCACCUUCCAGCAGGAAACAGGACCCCCAACAUACAGUCAGAGCCACAACGAUAUAACAAAGUCCGGACUUAAAUCAAAUUAAGAAAAUUACUGAAAAUCUCUGGAGAAGCCGCAGAGAUCCAGACGGAUCUCCGGUGGAGAAAUCUGUCAACAGAACGACCAUUAGUCCUUCAGUUUCCUUCAGCAGAAAUGUGGAAAGUGAUUGAAGCUAUCAGUAAAGGGCAAUCCUGGAAGAAAACCUGUUCACAAAAGUCUUAAAACUGAGGCAGAUUUUACCUUCUAGCAGGGCAAUGGUCCAAAACACACAGUCCAGCCAAAGUUAAUGACUUUAGGCUAUUUAGGAGUGCAUUCAGUUUUAUUAAUUGGACAAAAAAAAAGUCUAAAAAAAAUAAAUAAAUAAAAAAUACAAUAAAAUCAUUAAAGUUUGUGGUUGCAAUGUAACCAGAUGUUUAAAAAUACAACUUGUAGAAAUACUUUUGCAACCCAAUGGAAGUGGCACACAUUUGUAUUAUAAAGUUCACAUUGGUGUGUCUUAUCAUUGCACAAGAAAGCAAAUCAACUUCAGAGCCAUCACAGCCUCACAAAACUCAAGGUUAGGCCCCAUAGAAUAAUGUGCAGGGCUUCAGGAGAAAAGUAGGACAGCAAAGAACAAACAAACACAAAAAAAGCUCUUUGUUUCCCCAGCAUAUAUAAUGGAUUCUACGGUCAUUCUCAAUGCUACACCAGCGUAGAAGUUGGACAUAGUGAAUUGUUUACAUUCUUUGAUCUCAGAAAACAACAGUCAUUUAGUGCAAGAGUCGAGUGCUGAACGAAAAGCAAAAAAAUCUCUUUUCAAAUGUGUGUGUGUGUGUGUGUGCGUGCGUGCGUGUGCGUGCAUGUGCGCGUGUGUGCAUGCGUGUGUGUGUGUGUGGAGUCUCUGCACAGUGCUGGGUUGAGACGCAACAUUAAUCACCGCCGAUGGCUGCUAUGAAAUCUCAUUACCCUCAUCAUUUGUACCAGUCGGCCCGAUUCUCGUUUUCACGCCUCGGCCUGAGCGCUCGCUGUUUAUCUGCACCUAGAGCUCUCGUGUGCUCGUGUGUACGAGGGUUGUGCAUGUGCUGCCGUUAGACGGAGCCACAGAAUCCGAGGGGUGAGAGGAUGGCGGGGGAUGGGGGUGUGGGGGACGGAGGGAGGGCUCAGCCAUUUCUGCAGUGAAUAAACACAGACGAUUCGCAGAUAAAUAGCCGUGAAUACUGAAAGUGCCUCCAACAAGGUGUUUUCAUAACAGCACCACAGGAGGUCCUGACAUUCAAGGCAGCAGCCAUGUAGAAUGAGCGAGCACGCUGCGCUGUCAUGCUUUAACAUGCUUACACGUCUCUGUAGGCUGCCAAUCCUGCGAGCAACAACAAUCCAGCAAUGAAAGCAUAUAAGUAAAUGUUUUCUUUUUUAUUUUUAGUAUUAUUUGCACUGCAGAGACUGUGAAAAGUUUACACACCCCUGAUCUGAUAUUGGAAAAUUACAUCUUUUUUUUUUUUUUUUUUACAUUUAGCAUGACGUCUGUUCUGUAAUAUUUAGCCAAAGCACUAUUUUAUUAGAAGAAAAAGUAAAAAUAAAUAAAUAAAACUUACUGUGAUAACCUGGUAGCAUAAGUAGCCACAUUUUAAGCAAACAUGCUGAUUGAGUUUCAUUGCCAGUUCAACUUUGCCAAUAUUUUCCAAAUCUACCCGACUGUUGGGAAAUCUCCUGUUCACAGUCUUCCAUGAGUGAGCUGGGAGACCUUCUGCCAGAUUUGGUUUUGGAAAUUUUGGCUACAAUUUUCUCAAUUUGUUGAGUUGCGUUCGAGCUGUGACUCAGUGUGAUGCCGGAUAAAGACAUUCCUCUUCAUACUCAUGUAUUGAACAGUCACCUACAAGCUCAGGGUCAAAACUAACUAGAAUUAAGAGGUGAAGAUAAUUUCAUGACAUAAACACCCCAUUUCGAACUGAGCAACAACAACAACAGAAAUAAUUCAGAUCAUCAGUCUACAGAGGGUCUGGUGUUCUUUAGGUGAUGCAUAGUGUUAUUUUUUCAAUGUCAAACAUACCUUGUAGAAAAGUCUUGGUUUUGCCUUCUCCUGACUGAUACCUUUGAACAUUAGAUCCCUUUUAUUUUAUUUUUUUCAACCUCUCUGAAUACGAUGGUGUAGUCAAAGGAUGCAAAUGAGUAUCUAAUAAGACUAAAUAUUGCAGUCCAAACCAAAGGUCCAAAAAAGUGUUUGUCUAACGAUUCCUGUUUUAUUUUCCUCUCCAAACUGUUUUGUUUUCCAGUUGAAUUUGUUUGAAUUGUACAGUAUUUAUGUCACAUUAAAAAAAAA